rnacentral:rRNA from 1 species
UACGUAGGGUGCGAGCGUUGUCCGGAAUUACUGGGCGUAAAGAGUUCGUAGGCGGUUUGUCGCGUCGUUCGUGAAAACUUGGGGCUUAACUCCAAGCGUGCGGGCGAUACGGGCAGACUUGAGUACUACAGGGGAGACUGGAAUUCCUGGUGUAGCGGUGAAAUGUGCAGAUAUCAGGAGGAACACCGAUGGCGAAGGCAGAUCUCUGGGCCGUAACUGACGCUGAGGAGCGAAAGCAUGGGGAGCGAACAGG